rnacentral:ncRNA from 2 species
ACAUGUUCCGAGGGGUGUCCUGCGCAGGCAGGGCUGAGAUGGCGUCAGCCGGACCCUUUGAACCUGAUCCGGGUCAUGCCGGCGAAGGGACGGGAAUCAUCAAGCAC